CUCUUCUCUUCUCCACUGAAGAGAAGGAAAGCUCAGCUCGUAUUAUAAUAUACGAGAUCCGAGGAGGAGCGAAAUCGACAGUGCGGAUAGGCUCUCUCCUUCGGUCGCCUAAGAAUACGGGCGAGGAGAGUCCAAGUUUGGCUGUGGGGCGAGAAGCGGAAGCGGAAAGAUUGCAUCUUGGGUUGGUUUCUCUGUCGAAUAGGUUCUGGUGAUUUUUGUUCGUUUGAGUUAUUGGUCUGAAAUUUUGUCGUUUCUUUUGGCAAGUUGGGGUUCGGGAGAGGAGACUUGGUGAAAAUUGUAAUAGCUUUGGUGGAAAAGACGGACAUGAACUUGGUUCAGUCGGGUUCCGUAGUAGUAGGGUUUUGAGUUGAGGGAAUUGGUUGAGAUCGGACGGAGUUGUAUUUUUAUUUUCUUUUACCUUUUUCUGGUUGGAUUUUCUUAGAGACUUCGGUUAAUGAAUAUAGGUCGGACUUUUGAGGGUUUUGCUGCUGCUUUUGACCGACUUUGAGAGGAGAAGAUAUUUCUUGGUGCUCUAUCCUGUGCCGGCAAUUUCUUCGUUCUCCAAUCGCAUCAGUUGUACUCGAAAGGAUGGAACGAAACUUAUGGAGGAUAUGAAGAAUUGCCUUGCGUGAAAGCAUUCUUGAAAGACUAACUAGAAUUGCCCUUGCCCGUGAUCGUGUUCGACGAAGCCAAGAAAGGAUCAUCGAUGAAGGACACUGACAAGUGCCUGGACUCCCAGCUCUGGCAUGCUUGUGCCGGUGGGAUGGUUCGGAUGCCGGCCACGAACUCCAGGGUCUACUACUUCCCCCAGGGUCAUGCAGAACAUUCCCAAGGGGUUGUGGACUUUGGGAAUCUGCAGCGGAUUCCACCUUUCAUACUCUGCCAAGUUACCACAGUCAAGUUCAUGGCUGAUCUGGAAACGGACGAGGUCUUUGCCAAGAUCCGGAUGGCCCCCAUCAGGAGUGGCAUCCCGGACUACAUCGAAGAUGAAGGAUUGGUUCCGGAGAUGAACGAAAUCGAUGUGCAUGAGAAGCCCACUUCUUUUGCCAAGACAUUGACCCAAUCGGAUGCAAACAAUGGUGGUGGAUUUUCUGUUCCUCGCUACUGUGCGGAGACCAUCUUCCCCAGGUUGGACUACACAGCAGACCCUCCUGUGCAGAAUGUAAUCGCAAAGGAUGUACAUGGCAAGGUGUGGAAGUUUAGACAUAUAUACAGGGGGACACCUCGCCGACACCUGCUCACCACCGGAUGGAGUAACUUUGUAAACCAGAAGAAACUUGUGGCUGGGGAUUCCAUCGUGUUCCUUAGAGCAGAGAAUGGGGACCUCUGUGUUGGUAUACGGCGUGCCAAAAGAGGUGGGGUUGGCGAUAGCCCAGCGACGCAAUCAGCAUGGAGUCCCCAGGGCAGAAAUGGUGCGUCCAGCUAUGGUGGCUUAUCUGCCGUCCUGACGGAGGAAGAGAGCAAAUUGAUGAGAGGUAAUGACAGUCAUUCUGUAUUCAGCCGAGGUAUAAGGGGAAGGGGCCAAGUGAGGGCAGACUCUGUCGUUGAGGCAGCAACACAUGCAGCAAAUGGGCAGCCUUUUGAGGUUGUGUACUACCCUAGAGCCAGUACGCCGGAAUUUUGUGUAAAGGCCGCAGCUGUAAAAGCAGCACUGAGGAUCCAGUGGUAUCCAGGGAUGAGAUUUAAGAUGGCUUUUGAAACUGAGGAUUCAUCAAGGAUUAGUUGGUUCAUGGGAACUAUAUCUUCAGUUCAGGUUGCAGAUCCCAUAAGAUGGCCUAAUUCGCCAUGGAGACUUCUUCAGGUGACAUGGGAUGAACCAGACCUCUUACAGAAUGUCAAGCGUGUGAACCCAUGGCUAGUUGAACUGGCUUCAAACAUGCCAGCCAUAAAUCUUGGACAUCUCCCACCACCCAUAAAAAAGCAACGCGUUCUCCAGCAACCUCCAUUUGAAGGUCAAUUUCCAGUACCAAUGGUCUCUGGAACCCCCUCCGUCCCAAGGGGCAGCCCCUAUUGCUGCUUCUCUGACAGCGCUGCUGCAGGCAUACAGGGAGCCAGGCAUGCACAAUUUGAUAUAUCUUUAUCAGAUCUCCACCUUAAUAAACUGCAGACGGGUUUGUUCCAUGCUGGGUUUCACCGGCUUGAUCAUGCCACUCCACCCUCGAGGAUUUCCACGGGUGUUAUUGUUGGCAAUCCCACUAUUCAUGACAAGGUAUCAUGUUUGCUUACAAGCGGUCAUCCUUCUCAGGGCCUGAAUAAAUCAUGUAACGGAAAACUGCCACAGUUGGUGCUAUUUGGCCAGCCAAUACUGACUGAACAACAGAUUUCGUUGUGCAAAUCUGAGACUAUGAUCUUCGAUGAUGCUACUGGAACCAGCUCAUCAGAUGGGAAUCUCGAGAAGGCAACGAAUGUUUCUGAUGGUUCUGGAUUUGCAAUAAAUCAUAAGGGCCCUCUUGAAGCAUUCGCUCAUCGCAGGGAUCAUCGAGCUUUGGAGCUUAUUAUCGAGGCUGAGCACUGUAAGGUAUUUAUGGAAUCGGAGGAUGUUGGUCAUAGCCUUGACCUCUCUGUCUUUGGCUCAUAUGAAGAACUAUACGAGAGGCUUGGUGAUAUGUUUGGAAUUGAAAAAUCAGAGAUGAUAACCCAUAUGUUUUACAAGGAUGCAGCUGGUGCACUUAAACACGCUGGAGAUGAACCUUUCAGUAACUUCAUGAAGACAGCCAGAAGACUGACUAUAUUAACCGAUUCAGGAAACGCAACUCAGCAGGGUAGGGAAAGUCUCUUGCCGAUUGUAUAGUUGAACAGACCUCUUCUCAAAGUACCCACAUCAUAGGCACGCCAUUCUUGGAUGCUGUUUUUUCAAUGAUUCCAAAGCCAUUUUUCUGUAUAAAGUCAGUUCCCAGUAUGAACUUUUCAAUUGGAGACAAAUUAUUAUCAACUUUAGCAAAAUGAGAGAUGAAAACAUGAAGUUUUAUACUUGGUUAGUGUAAAUUUAGUCAACUCAAAAUAGUUGGCGUUGAGCUGGAAUGCUAGUUGGCCAUAAUGUUGCCGAAAAGAAUGCAGAUUCUGCAGAUUUCAUUAGCUCAUUAUAAUUAUCCCAGUUCCAUGUCAGUAUCACAUGGAUCAUUUUUUGAAACUUGGAAACACUGAAGACUGGAAUCCAGGUUCUACUGCUGCUCACUGCCCAGGGUGUUACGAAUUCAGACGAUUGAUGACAAAUUGGCAUAUUUCUCAUUGCAUUAGUUUUUAGCAGUCAUCACCACUGCCUGAAUCAACUGAAGAGAGGCUUGGAAGCUGCAGUAGAAGAUUUUCAAUGCUUAAGAAGCUGCCAUUCAUCCAAGUUGAGUUCAUGCUUCAAUAACCAUCAUAUUUUUUUGUCAAGAAGGUAUGUAGAUCCUUGUCCCACCACACUUGCGUUCUGUGACAGAGAAGUGGAGUAUUAAACACACAAGCAGUAUGUUCCAAAUAUGAACUGUUUCAUUGGUGCAAGUCUCAACAACAGAGUUCUCAACUCCUGGAAAAGUGAGAUUUGUUGAAAGAAAUGUUCCAGCAAACUAUGUAGGAGCCAUCUGGUUCAACUAGAUAUGCCCCAUCUCACCUUUGCCUUCUUUGUUUGUGGUCUUCCAUACCCAUCUUUUAUCUUCACUGGCAUAAUUGCUGACUCUGCUAUUGUAUUAGUAUGGUUAUAAGUCACAGAUCUAUUAAAUGACGGUGUUCAUCACUCCUAA